GACGAACGCUGGCGGCGUGCUUAACACAUGCAAGUCGAACGAAGAGCGAUGGAAGCUUGCUUCUAUCAAUCUUAGUGGCGAACGGGUGAGUAACGCGUAAUCAACCUGCCCUUCAGAGGGGGACAACAGUUGGAAACGACUGCUAAUACCGCAUACGAUCUAAUCUCGGCAUCGAGGAUGGAUGAAAGGUGGCCUCUAUUUAUAAGCUAUCACUGAAGGAGGGGAUUGCGUCUGAUUAGCUAGUUGGAGGGGUAACGGCCCACCAAGGCGAUGAUCAGUAGCCGGUCUGAGAGGAUGAACGGCCACAUUGGGACUGAGACACGGCCCAGACUCCUACGGGAGGCAGCAGUGGGGAAUCUUCCGCAAUGGACGAAAGUCUGACGGAGCAACGCCGCGUGAGUGAUGACGGCCUUCGGGUUGUAAAGCUCUGUUAAUCGGGACGAAAGGCCUUCUUGCGAAUAGUGAGAAGGAUUGACGGUACCGGAAUAG
rnacentral:rRNA from 1 species